UGAGUUUUAUAUAGAAGGAAAAGGGGGUGGGGGAGCAACCACACAUAUUAUCUGGCCAGGGAAACCCAAGUAUAUUCCCUGGCCUCAAGAGGAGUUUUAUGGGGUUCUGCAGAUGGCUGAGUGGCUAAAGUGCUUGCCUUCCAGUGAGAGGACUAAGAUCUCCAGAACCAACGUGAAAGUCAGACAGGCACGAUGACUACUUGUAAUCCCAGCAUUUGAAUGGCAGAGGUGAAGGACUGGAGGACCGCAGGGAAAGCUAGCCAGGAACUUGCUCAGCCCGCUGGAAGAGGAGCCUCGAAAUUCUGUCAUCCCGGAAGCCAAUUGCUCUAGUGUGGAUAAGGAGUGUUUCUUCCCACCACCACAGCUCUUGCUAUGAAGCCAAGGAGUGGCGACCUCUUGUCACUGGGCAUGGUUCCCCCAUGCCCAGGAGCUUGGAGCAUGGUGAGAAGUUCUGAGAAAGCCAGGAGCCCACAGCCCAAGUCAAUCAGAGUACUAUGGUAAGAGACACCACUUGGAAACUGGUCCAUUGAUUUAUAGAUAAUGCUUGACUUGAAUCUGCAGAGAAACUCACCACGGAUUCUGCAGAGUUAACAGAUCCAGGAGUCCCCUGCGCAUUGUGUGAA
rnacentral:lncRNA from 1 species